rnacentral:rRNA from 1 species
AUAUCAAUAAGCGGAGGAAAAGAAACCAACCGGGAUUGCCUCAGUAACGGCGAGUGAAGCGGCAAGAGCUCAAAUUUGAAAUCUGGCCCCUCCGGGGUCCGAGUUGUAAUUUGCAGAGGAUGCUUCGGGUGCAGCCCCCAUCUAAGUUCCCUGGAACGGGACGUCAUAGAGGGUGAGAAUCCCGUAUGGGAUGGGGUGUCUGCGUCCGUGUGAAGCUCCUUCGACGAGUCGAGUUGUUUGGGAAUGCAGCUCUAAAUGGGUGGUAAAUUUCAUCUAAAGCUAAAUAUUGGCCGGAGACCGAUAGCGCACAAGUAGAGUGAUCGAAAGAUGAAAAGCACUUUGAAAAGAGAGUUAAACAGCACGUGAAAUUGUUGAAAGGGAAGCGCUUGCGACCAGACUCGCCUACGGGGUUCAGCCGGCUUUCGGGCCGGUGUACUUCCCCGUGGGCGGGCCAGCGUCGGUUUGGGCGGCCGGUCAAAGGCCCCGGGAAUGUAACGCCCUCCGGGGCGUCUUAUAGCCCGGGGUGCAAUGCGGCCUGCCUGGACCGAGGAACGCGCUUCGGCACGGACGCUGGCAUAAUGGUCGUAAGCGACCCGUCUUGAAACACGGACCAAGGAGUCUAACAUCUACGCGAGUGUUCGGGUGUCAAACCCGUGCGCGGAGUGAAAGCGAACGGAGGUGGGAGCCCCUUACGGGGCGCACCAUCGACCGAUCCUGAUGUCUUCGGAUGGAUUUGAGUAAGAGCGUAAAUGUGGGGACCCGAAAGAUGGUGAACUAUGCCUGAAUAGGGCGAAGCCAGAGGAAACUCUGGUGGAGGCUCGCAGCGGUUCUGACGUGCAAAUCGAUCGUCAAAUUUGGGUAUAGGGGCGAAAGACUAAUCGAACCAUCUGGUAGCUGGUUCCUGCCGAAGUUUCCCUCAGGAUAGCAGUAACGCGGAUCAGUUUUAUGAGGUAAAGCGAAUGAUUAGAGGCCUUGGGGUUGAAACAACCUUAACCUAUUCUCAAACUUUAAAUAUGUAAGAAGUCCUUGUUGCUUAGUUGAACGUGGACAUCCGAAUGGAGCGUUACUAGUGGGCCAUUUUUGGUAAGCAGAACUGGCGAUGCGGGAUGAACCGAACGCGAGGUUAAGGUGCCGGAAUGCACGCUCAUCAGACACCACAAAAGGUGUUAGUUCAUCUAGACAGCCCGACGGUGGCCAUGGAAGUCGGAAUCCGCUAAGGAGUGUGUAACAACUCACGGGCCGAAUGAACUAGCCCUGAAAAUGGAUGGCGCUCAAGCGUGCUACCCAUACCUCGCCCUCGGGGUAGAAACGAUGCCCCGAGGAGUAGGCAGGCGUGGAGGUCCGUGACGAAGC